UUGGGUUCUCGGGAUACUUUUAAAAGAAAAAUCAGAAACUGAUGGUCAAACUGUAAUUUAAAAAGUUCGGCCACAUCAGAUGUCCGGUCAGCAGGCCCUAUGAAUCAAGACGCAUCGCGUGGCAGAAAACACUAAUGCGGUACCAUGCAGGGGCGCCACGCGGGCGAUCCACGUGUCCGCGAUCGAAUGGCCCAGAUCCGUUCCCGCGCGCACGGACAGCCCAGAUGCGUUCCCUUCCAAAACGCGAUCAUACGGCCAGAUUUCAACGCGAUCAGAUGAGCCAGAUUAGAUCGUGAUGGACGGUCCAGAUUCACUUCAUAUUUGAUUGGGAUCGAACGGUCCAGAUCAAACGCGAUGGACGGCUCAGAUCAAAAGCAGACGGAUAUAAAUAACCCCAUCCACACUAAAUUCUAACCCUAGCCGUCAGACCCCCUCGUCGGAGAAAAAGACCCGGCCACCGGAAAGGAGACCGCUGCCACCCGCUGCCGCAUCAGAGCCCUUUCUGACAGCCAAAAGAGGUAAAAAAAA
rnacentral:lncRNA from 1 species